GACGAACGCUGGCGGCGCGCUUAACACAUGCAAGUCGAGCGAGAACCUAGGCUUCGGCCUAGGGGACAGCGGCGAACGGGUGAGUAACACGUGGGUAAUCUGCCCUCGACAUCGGGAUAG
rnacentral:rRNA from 1 species